rnacentral:rRNA from 1 species
GACGAACGCUGGCGGCGUGCUUAACACAUGCAAGUCGAACGGAAAGGCCCUGCUUUUGUGGGGUGCUCGAGUGGCGAACGGGUGAGUAACACGUGAGUAACCUGCCCUUGACUUUGGGAUAACUUCAGGAAACUGGGGCUAAUACCGGAUAGGAGCUCCUGCUGCAUGGUGGGGGUUGGAAAGUUUCGGCGGUUGGGGAUGGACUCGCGGCUUAUCAGCUUGUUGGUUGGGUAGUGGCUUACCAAGGCUUUGACGGGUAGCCGGCCUGGGAGGGUGACCGGCCACAUUGGGACUGGGAUACGGCCCAGACUCCUACGGUAGGCAGCAGUGGGGAAGAGUGCACAAUGGGCGGAAGCCUGAUGCAGCAACGCCGCGUGCGGGAUGACGGCCUGCGGGUUGUAAACCGCUUUCGCCUGUGACGAAGCGUGAGUGACGGUAAUGGGUAAAGAAGCACCGGCUAACUACGUG